rnacentral:rRNA from 1 species
AAUGAACGCUGGCGGCGCGCCUAAUACAUGCAAGUCGAGCGAGAAGACGUAGCAAUACGUUUGUAAAGCGGCGAACGGGUGAGGAAUACAUGGGUAACCUACCCUCGAGUGGGGAAUAACUAGCCGAAGGUUAGCUAAUACCGCGUACGCUCCUUGGACUUCGGUUCAGGGAGGAAAGCGAUACCGUGGGUAUCGCGCUCUUGGUUGGGCUCAUGUCCUAUCAGCUUGUUGGUGAGGUAACGGCUCACCAAGGCUUCGACGGGUAGCUGGUCUGAGAGGACGAUCAGCCACACUGGCACUGCGACACGGGCCAGACUCCUACGGGAGGCAGCA